rnacentral:rRNA from 1 species
UACGGGGGGUGCGAGCGUUGUCCGGAAUCACUGGGCGUAAAGGGCGCGUAGGUGGCCUGAUAAGGGUGUGGUGAAAGUCCGGGGCUCAACCCCGGAUCGGCCGUGCCGACUGUUAGGCUAGAGUACUGUAGGGGCAGAUGGAAUUCCGGGUGUAGCGGUGGAAUGCGUAGAGAUCCGGAAGAACACCGGUGGCGAAGGCGGCCUGCUGGGCAGUUUAGCUGACACUGAGGCGCGACAGCGUGGGAAGCAAACAGG